UGGGGAAUAUUGCACAAUGGGCGCAAGCCUGAUGCAGCCAUGCCGCGUGUAUGAAGAAGGCCUUCGGGUUGUAAAGUACUUUCAGCGGGGAGGAAGGUGUUGUGGUUAAUAACCACAGCAAUUGACGUUACCCGCAGAAGAAGCACCGGCUAACUCCGUGCCAGCAGCCGCGGUAAUACGGAGGGUGCAAGCGUUAAUCGGAAUUACUGGGCGUAAAGCGCACGCAGGCGGUCUGUCAAGUCGGAUGUGAAAUCCCCGGGCGCAACCUGGGAACUGCAUCCGAAACGGGCAGGCUUGAGUCUUGUAGAGGGGGGUAGAAUUCCAGGUGUAGCGGUGAAAUGCGUAGAGAUCUGGAGGAAGACCGGUGGCGAAGGCGGCCCCCUGGACAAAGACUGACGCUCAGGUGCGAAAGCGUGGGGAGCAAACA
rnacentral:rRNA from 1 species